UGGUUGCCGGCAGGGUAAGUUCAC
rnacentral:piRNA from 1 species